CCUCACUGGGUCUCCGAGGUUCAGUCAGUUGAGGGCUGGAGCGCUGCUCGGUGGAAGGGUGGGGGUGUCAUCUCGAAAUGCAUCCGACUGAAGGUCUGCGGAGAAAGAAAUCUGCAAUGUUGGCCGGGGGGAUGCACUGCUCCAAGAACAGGUCCUCCUCCUCUUCCUCCGUGUCCAUGUUCUCCGGAGGCCAGCGCAGCUCUCCGCUCUCCACCUCGUUCACCUCCGUGGGCUCCACAACGAUGGAGGGUAGACGCUCCUUCACAUGGUCGAGGUCCAGCCUGUGAAAGGUGGUCUCUGGGUCCAGGAUGACCUCCACGGGGUCAGGGAAGAUCUGCAGGAAAAGGCGAGGGAGCUUAUUAAGAGUUGAGCAGAAGUGUCCAGCCGAAAUUUGGAUCUCCGCUCAUCUCCUCCAUGUAUCUGCAGAGGAAACAACGCCAUAACAGAGACUAGAAACAAACAUACACUGUAAAGAAACAAGUGACAUUUUCACCGUGGAGACAUUGGCCUCUUUUUGCCAAUAUGAAGCCUGCCUUAUGUCAUUCUUUUGGAAACAAAGGUCCUCCAUAGUUUUGUACAAAAGAUCUCAUUCUAAUUGAUCAUAUUCUUCUUCUAAAAUCUUCCACGCCAAAUAUAGAAUAUAUUUGGAUGCCAAGUGAAAGAUCUUUUCCUCGCAGAAUAAUACAAUAAACCCCAGAAAUCUGCAGUGACUGACAGCUAAAUACGUGGAAAACUGCCACGAGACAUUCAGCCAACAAACAUGGCCUUGUUUCUCUCACUCUUACAUGUCUAUCGGACUAGUCUACAAGCCUCCCGCAGCACAGCAGAGGUCCACAGUUGGACAGUCAGUGAGUGGCACUGGAUGAAAUCAAUCCAUCCGGUUUUCUAUGAAACAACCCCUCAA